rnacentral:rRNA from 1 species
GACGAACGCUGGCGGCGUGCUUAACACAUGCAAGUCGAACGGAAAGGCCCUGCUUUUGUGGGGUGCUCGAGUGGCGAACGGGUGAGUAACACGUGAGUAACCUGCCCUUGACUUUGGGAUAACUUCAGGAAACUGGGGCUAAUACCGGAUAGUAGCUCCUGCUGCAUGGUGGGGGUUGGAAAGUUUCGGCGGUUGGGGAUGGACUCGCGGCUUAUCAGCUUGUUGGUGGGGUAGUGGCUUACCAAGGCUUUGACGGGUAGCCGGCCUGAGAGGGUGACCGGCCACAUUGGGACUGAGAUACGGCCCAGAGUCCUACGGGAGGCAGCAGUGGGGAAUAUUGCACAAUGGGCGGAAGCCUGAUGCAGCAACGCCGCGUGCGGGAUGACGGCCUUCGGGUUGUAAACCGCUUUCGCCUGUGACGAAGCGUGAGUGACGGUAAUGGGUAAAGAAGCACCGGCUAACUACGUG